rnacentral:rRNA from 1 species
CCUACGGGGGGCAGCAAUUAGGAAUCUUGCGCAAUGGGGGCAACCCUGACGCAGCGACGCCGCGUGAAGGAUGACGGCCUUCGGGUUGUAAACUUCUUUUAAGAGGGAAGAACCGGGCUCUUGCCCAUUGACGGUACCUCUUGAAUAAGCCCCGGCUAACUACGUGCCAGCAGCCGCGGUAAUACGUAGGGGGCGAGCGUUGUCCGAAGUUACUGGGCGUAAAGCGCGCGUAGGCGGGUCUUUAAGUCUGGUGUGAAAGGUUCAGGGCUCAACCCGAACAGUGCACUGGAGACUGAAGGCCUUGAGUUAGGGAGAGGAGAGUGGAAUUCCUGGUGUAGCGGUGAAAUGCGUAGAUAUCAGGAGGAACACCGAUGGCGAAGGCAGCUCUCUGGCCCUGUACUGACGCUGAGGUGCGAAAGCGUGGGGAGCGAACGGGAUUA